GAGGAUGUAGCUCACCUGGUAGAGCACUUAUCUAGCAAGUAAAAUGUCCUGAGUGCCCUCAGUACCAUCA
rnacentral:tRNA from 1 species